CAGAACUACAGGUGUCCCUUUUUACCAAAUAGAAAAUGCAUUCAUCCUGUUGUUUACGACUCGAUCCUCCAAACCUCAAGGGAUGCAGUUCGCAUGAUGGUGCUGGUUCAGAUCUCAUUUCGCCAGACUGUUCCAGGGCCUGUCUGGAAGAUUGUUUCAUGGUGCAAGGAAUUCAUUCUCUGAAAUUGUUGCUCAGUUGUUAUGAACAGCUCAGACUUCUUUUCCACAACUACCCUGCGUCUAAAUCCUAUAACAAUUUGAGCCAAGUGACACACAAAUCUUCUGUGAACAGCUCCUCAAACUCUUGUCAUCUAUUUUUUUUUUAUUGCUAAUGGAUUUUUAAAUAUUCCAUUUUCUACACAUUUUUAUUUGGUAGAAUUAAACAGCGUGCAUGAAGUACUUUAACUUGACUUUGAUGUACACCAUUUUUCUGAAUGAAAGAUCAAGCCUUUUAUUUACAUGUUAUGGAGUGAUUGCCUUUUAAAAGUCUAACCCAUUAAUAUUCCUUUUUUUAAAAAAAAAAUCAAUCACUGUACUCAGUCAGAAAGAAAGAGAAGUUUUAGAAAGGAUCAGUUUAAAAUAAAAUAGCAUUGCCCAGACUCA